GGGACGCAGCUAUUCCGCGGUGAAGAUGGGAACGAUCCCGGGCUCAGGGAUUGUGCUAAUUUUUGUGCUGAUGGCCCCGGGCAGAGCCGACAUCCAGCAGCCGGGCUUCGCAGAAGGUUUGGAGGGAGCGGAACUGAGCCUCACCUGCUCCCACCCCUCAGUCACGGCCAGUGAAUACAUAUUUUGGUACCGGCAGUUCCCGAACAGAGGACUCGAAUUUAUAGUUUCUGGAUUCCGGGGAACCAUUGAUAGCCCCAACCCCGAGGGAGCGUUGCACAUCUCUGGGGACAGAAAGUCCAGCACCCUGGUCCUACGGAGAGCGAGGCUGGCAGACGCAGCGGUGUAUCACUGUGCUCUGAGAGGCACACUGUGA